rnacentral:rRNA from 1 species
AGCGAACGCUGGCGGCAGGCCUAACACAUGCAAGUCGAACGCUCGGGGCAACCCGAGAGUGGCAGACGGGUGAGUAACACGUGGGAACGUGCCCUUUGGUUCGGAACAACCCAGGGAAACUUGGGCUAAUACCGGAUAAGCCCUUACGGGGAAAGAUUUAUCGCCGAAGGAUCGGCCCGCGUCCGAUUAGCUAGUUGGUGGGGUAAUGGCCCACCAAGGCGACGAUCGGUAGCUGGUCUGAGAGGAUGAUCAGCCACACUGGGACUGAGACACGGCC